rnacentral:rRNA from 1 species
CCUACGGGUGGCAGCAGUGGGGGAUAUUGCACAAUGGGGGACACCCUGAUGCAGCGACGCCGCGUGAGGGAAGACGGUUUUCGGAUUGUAAACCUCUGUCUUUGCGGACGAAUUGCGCCUGUACCCAAGAAGGAAGCUCCGGCGAACUACGUGCCAGCAGCCGCGGUAAUACGUAGGGAGCAAGCGUUUUCCGGAAUUACUGGGUGUAAAGGGGGCGUAGGCGGGAGAGUAAGUCGAUUGUUAAAGCUAUCGGCUCAACUGGUAGAUGCGAUCAAAACUGCAAUUCUUGAGUGAAGUAGAGGCAGGCGGAAUUCGUAGUGUAGCGGUGAAAUGCGUAGAUAUUAGGAGGAACACCAGUGGCGAAGGCGGCCUGCUGGGCUUUAACUGACGCUGAGGCUCGAAAGUGCGGGUAGCAAACAGGAUUAGAUACCCCUGUAGUC